ensembl:lncRNA
GCUGGCAGGUCGUCGCCCGCCUCCGGCCCCGUUCCCGCGCGGACGGGCUGCCGGGGCCGGCUGGGUCUCCAGGCACAUGCAAGCCCGUGGCUGAGCCCCGGCCUCGCCGAGCGCGACAGCAAUAAACGGUGACACGUUCGCUCCAGCGCAUUUCCUGGCACGUUACAAAACGUGCCAUAAAUAAUUAAACCUGAGCUACAAUUAUCAAAACAAACGAAUAAAGCGCAGUUGGGAUGGAUUUUCCGCUUUUAUUUUGUGCUUCUUGUUUCUUUCCUGUAACGUUUUUAAGAUUGUUUGCUCGCUCUUGGCGUGAAAUCCGUCCGUGAGCCGCGAGGCUUUGCGUUCGCACCCUGAACCGCGGGGACUCGCGCGGCGGCGCAGCAGAGCCGGCUGCUGCAAACCCAAAUCCCCCCGGUUUUGGGAGGCCGUAGCCAUCGCCCCACGCGCGCGUGGUGCUUGUUGAUGUUUUGCUAAUGCGGCCGCAUCGGUGCAAGGCUGGUCCCUGUCGCGAGCAGGUAGGAUGCUCUGCAAAGCAAGGCCGGGGCUGGAGGGGGCUGGGAUUUUGGAGGCAGCGUUUGCCCCCGGCGCGCAGGGCGGUGCAGAGGUGGUGCGGCUUUGCAAACGGCAGAAAGGUCCAACUUGAAUGUUUACCCCCCCUAAAAGGCUGACUCCACCUAAAUUGGCUCUCCGGUGCCCUUCCAUGCUCACAAGCCCUGUUCCCGGCGCAUCUCUCGGUGCGGUUUGGGCUCCGGCGCCCUCCCUGCCCCUCGGCACGCGGGAGCCUCGGGCCGCCGGUCACCGCGCUGCAUUUCCCCCUCAGAUGCUUUCUCCUGCUGCUCUUUUGUUUCGGAUUUAUCAUGGCUCGAUCGCCUUGCAGGAGGGAAGAAGCCAGGACUCUGUUCCCUCUGUUUAAAGUCACCAGGUCAGUACCGGGGCCGGGGCGAGCAGCGGCCCCUGCCCACCCGUUACGUGUUCAAUGUUGGCUCCUUCCCCGACCCCCUCCCGGUGCGGGGUGCCCGCCGCCCGGCCGCCCCUGCGGCGCAGGGCGUUUGCAGCCAGGCUGCAGCCUGCUUUCCGCUUGCCUUGGGCCAUUCAGCCGCUGAAGCACAGCCCCUUUGCAGGGCCGGGAGGAGGAAGCCUCUUUGCUCGGGAUGGUGCCUGCAGCCCGAGGCCUCGGUGCUGCUCCCGCGAGGCACUGGCGCUCUCCCCCCUUGCAGCUUGCAAGGUUUGGGGGCUCCCUUUUGGGGACUGGGAGGGGAAACCUUGCAGGGGAGGAAGAGCGAAGCAUCUUGGCUCCCCGGGGUCGAGGUGGAGAGGCAGGUGCUGUACCUAGGAGCUGGCUGUGCAAGCGUGGAGGGCUUUAAAAAAACUGUGAGAGAGGAAAUGUGGUGGAAUCUGCUCGGUAGCAUCCCUGCUGGGUCUGUCAUAAUAAUAGAUUUUACUUCCAUGGCAUCUGUCGGCCUCUAAUGGGCUGGGUGUUCCCGUUGCGAGAGACGGCUCCAGCGUUUCGGCAUUUCUUCUCGGGGAGACUGCUGCCGGGAGCGCGGAGGGGCCGGGCGAGCCCACCCGGCCCCGGCUCCUUCUGCUUUAGGUGCAUUUAUCCGGGGCUUUAGCUGCCCUGGAGCAGGCGCAUUUCCUCCGCUGGUGCAGGCUGGAAGGUAAGGGGAGCUGCCCUGGCGCGUCCGUCCGUCUGUCUCGGGAUGUGCAUUGCCGUCACGCAGCCGGCGCCCCGGCAGGGCUUUGGGAGGCUUCGUGCCUGGCAGGGAGACCUGGAGGAGGAGGAAAUGGAGCUUGUAAUACGUGGGGUGUGCCGGGCCUCCUCACGGCAGAGCCUGCUUGGUGUAAAACCACGGCACCGGAACAGCGCGCUGUAAUUUAAUUGCGUUUCCUGCAAACGGCUUGUUGGCUUGUAAUGAACACGUUCCUCCGAAACGGGAGCGGGGCCGCGAGAGGAGGGCAGCGGCCCACGGCUGGCCCCGGCAUCCCAACCGGGGCCCGCCCGGGGNNNNNNNNNNNNNNNNNNNNNNNUCGUUUGCUGCCCCAGAAUUACACGUGCAAUGAGCUUCCCGGCUCCGAAGGGCGGGCGGGCGCGCGUUCCCGCAGCUGGAGAGCAGAUUGCCGGCCUGUUUCCUUGCGACCGGGUGGGAACGCGCGCUCGCCGCGCUCGGUUUCUGCCGCUUUCCGCAAGAGUUAAGGGUUGGCUUGCGUGUCGCCUGGCUGGCCGUUGGAUCGCACCCGUCCCUGGAAGUUUUGUCUCCACCUGGGGCGGCCGCAGGUUGUGCUGAUGCUGGUCCCUACGUACCGUGAAAACGUCGCGUUAUGGUGAUGCUUUGUCUGGCUGCAAGUUUUUAAACAGUCUGGGUGUUUCCUUAUCACGGCGUUCAGGGCUGUGAAAUACUGGGAUGCUCUUGUGAGCGGGGAGCUCUUCCAAAAGCCUUCCCGUCAAAGCAGCGGGCAGCUUUUGGGGCCGAGGUGACGGAGCCACGGCAGCGAUAGCCGGGCGUCCCUGGAGGAGCCCCUUCGCUCUCCUCCCCGUGGGCCUCGUGUUCCCUGUACCGAUAGCGCUGGGGGUGAGAGUGGCUUGGUGUACGUGUGCAUCCCAGAACAACCCCGUCCUGGUGUUACCAGCGUCUUAAAUACCUCCGUGCCUCAAUGUGCCUCAAAAGAACAUCUCCCCUGACCGGUCAGUCCAAAUUUCCUGGGGUAACUGCGACAGUGCAAAUAAAGAGAAUAAAUCAGGCUCA